AAGUGUCCCACUUUGCUUAGACAAAAUAAGAUCAGUCCCUCCCAUGUUCUUCCUUCACAGAAAAGUCUCUCGUCUUCUUGGCCUGGUGGCCAAAGACUGAUGUUAUCCUGAAACCUCUGGCCCCAGUGCCAUGGAGACCACAGGAUGCUGGGAUGACCAUCUAGAUUUCCACCUGGCUGACAGACAUCAUCUAGGGAUUACCUGCGGACUGCAAACUGCUGAGCUCUAGACUUGUUGAAAGCUGAUGUGAACCACUGCAGCCGAUAUAAUUGUUCCCUGUUUCUUCACCUGGAUCAGCUAAUCAGAUGAUUCUGAUAAAUGCCCUAUUACCUAGCCUUUGACGAGCCCUUCAGCCUUCCUGACAUUGGUACCCCAGUUUCAGUUGGAAGUAGUUACAGAAGAGAGUACAUCAUCCCUUACCCCAUAACAAGCUGAAAUGCUAAGUCAAAAGGAAACCCCUGGCAUAGGGGACAAAAUGGCUACUUAUAAUGCCAAUUGACAUACCAGGAAUGUGGGCACAGAUUUGUCAACUUGGUAGAUUCAUGAACUGAAAUAGUUCUACAAUAUGAUAGGACAUGUGGGCUGCUUUAUGCAGAACAAAGAGGCAUCAUAUGGCUUUAAGAGAAAAUGGUUAUUUCUGUACAAACCAUUCAGAAUUAUAAUCGGGCUAUACUAAAAAAUAUAUAUACGAAAAGGGGAACUGAGAUAAAAUAAAUUACUAGUGCCCCAUCCAUUUCCAGGCUCCUCCUACACAGUAACUCUGAUGUCAGUCAUCAUACAACCUUUAGCCCUCUGCUUCUGCUAUUUACUGUUGGCUCUUACAUCAUUGAUACAAUAAUUAAAUAAUUCCUCUCUGGUACUAUUAAGCUGAUGGUUAUAGAUCCCCAUAUAAACAAAUACCCAUCAUAGAGUCAAGGAUUUGACCCAGGAUAUAACUCAAGGGGUGGGAAUGUAAAACCCUAUUAACCUGUAAGCCCAACCCUCCCAAGUACCAAGUAACUUCCUGGAAUGCUGGGAGUUGUAGUUCUUGUAAAAUAACAAGGCCUCAUGGGAAGAAAAUGGUGGCAGUAUGGGUUUGUUCUUAUAGUCCUUGUAAAACAUGUCUCAAGGCCACUCAGCUGGGAAUUCCAGGGAGUGGUCCUGACCAAAGUCCAUCUUGGUCAGUAUUAAAUUAAAGAUUGCUUCAAAUUUGGCUCAAAUGGAACUGGUUUUUCUCUGGAAAAUCCCAGGAUUAACAACUAACUUGAUAUAUAUUUCUGUACUAGCAUAAGUCACAAAGCAUGAGUAUAGUAAAAUGUUAGCAAUAAAAAAUAGAAGGGUAAGUCAUCCUCCAUGAAAAUUCUGUCCAUUUUCUUUAUACUCUUUGUCCAGUAGGUGUGUAGUACAAGUUCAUUGUGGGUUUGGUUUGCACUUGUCAUAUGAUUUGCAAUGUUGAGUAUUUCUAAUAUGUUGGGCAUAUGUAUGCUAUGUUUGUAAAAAUGUUUACUCAAGUUAUUUGUCCAUUAUCUAAUAGAGUUAUCUGAACUUU